GAUGAACGCUGGCGGCGUGCCUAAUACAUGCAAGUCGAGCGAACAGACGAGGAGCUUGCUCCUCUGACGUUAGCGGCGGACGGGUGAGUAACACGUGGAUAACCUACCUAUAAGACUGGGAUAACUUCGGGAAACCGGAGCUAAUACCGGAUAAUAUAUUGAACCGCAUGGUUCAAUAGUGAAAGACGGUUUUGCUGUCACUUAUAGAUGGAUCCGCGCCGCAUUAGCUAGUUGGUAAGGUAACGGCUUACCAAGGCAACGAUGCGUAGCCGACCUGAGAGGGUGAUCGGCCACACUGGAACUAAGACACGGUCCAGACUCCUACGGGAGGCAGCAGUAGGGAAUCUUCCGCAAUGGGCGAAAGCUUGACGGAGCAACGCCGCGUGAGUGAUGAAGGUCUUCGGAUCGUAAAACUCUGUUAUUAGGGAAGAACAAAUGUGUAAGUAACUAUGCACGUCUUGACGGUACCUAAUCAGAAAGCCACGGCUAACCACGUG
rnacentral:rRNA from 1 species